GUUGGAACAGUUCCAACUCAACUCAUUAGGGUUUAUCGAUCAUCAUGAUAUUUCCUGUGAGUCUCACCAUCCACCAGUGACACCUAGCAGCAUGCAGUGGCUACCCAGCAGAAUGGAAUGAUGAACCUCUAGGUGCAGUUAUCAUAUGAUACAGUCCUACUAUCGUGGAUCCCUACAGGACGGAGGUCAUGGACAACUCGUUAAACCCCAUCAUCUAUUGUAU
rnacentral:lncRNA from 1 species